rnacentral:rRNA from 1 species
AUUGAACGCUGGCGGCAGGCCUAACACAUGCAAGUCGAGCGAGCGGCGGACGGGUGAGUAAUGUCUGGGAAACUGCCUGAUGGAGGGGGAUAACUACUGGAAACGGUAGCUAAUACCGCAUACCAUCAGAUGUGCCCAGGGGGGAUUAGCUAGUAGGUGGGGUACCGGCUCACCUAGGCGACGAUCCCUAGCUGGUCUGGGAGGAUGACCAGCCACACUGGAACUGAGCCAGGGUCCAGACUCCUACGGGAGGCAGCAGUGGGGAAUAUUGCACAAUGGGCGCAAGCCUGAUGCAGCCAUGCCGCGUGUGUGAAGAAGGCCUUCGGGUUGUAAAGCACUGUCAGCGGGGAGGCGUUACCCGCAGAAGAAGCACCGGCUAACUCCGUGCCAGCAGCCGCGGUAAUUC